GUGACCUCAACACAUACUCAGAUAUAGAGACAUAUAUAUACACACAUGAACAGUCACAUAGUCAAACAAAUAACACCCUUACAUUCACACACGCAGACACACACACAUACACACACAUACACACACAGUUCUCAUCCAAACUAAGACCGGUAGCAUCCUUACAUACAUCUGAGACCAUGGUUUGGGAGAACAGAUGUCUUAAGAAAGGUGUUUAAAAAAACAAAAUCAACAAUUGUAAUGUGAGUUGCUUCUCUCAACAGUCAGAGACAGUGAGUGUCAUUCACACAACAGCACAGCGUUAGAUCCAUACUCUCUGGGAGAACAACAAUGGUGUGUUCAGGAGGAAGAAAUGUUCUGAAUACUGCAGAUAGAACUGUCAUGAUAGAACUGUCAUGAUAGAACUGACAUGAUAGAACUGUCAUGAUGGAACUGUCAUGUUAGAACUGUCAUGAUAGAACUGUAAUGAUGGAACUGACAUGAUAGAACUGUCCUGAUAGAACUGUCAUGUUAGAACUGACAUGAUAGAACUGUCAUGAUAGAACUGUCAUGAGCGUCUUAUAAAGAGCUGACAUGAUUUCCUAUUAUACAAGUUUAUUAUUGCUAUUUGUAGGUAAAGAAUAUGUAGUAUAUUGGAGUGUCACAACAGUGAAGCAUGUCUGUUCUCUAUAAUACAUUUAUAUCUACAUUGUUGUAUAACGGAGUCCCCUGAAUGGUGGACACUACAACCACUAAAACCUUUACUAGUCAACAGCAGCACUGAAACCUUUAUGCUAAGUGAAUAUCUUUGUCACGGAGCCACACACCAGUCCAAACUAUCUCUGUGAAACUUUAUUUUGUCACCGUUUUGAGUAAGCGGGUGUUAAAUUCAAUGUUGUGUCAACGUUGUAGGGAUAACGCUCACUGUCUCACAUCGGACCUCACAGAUGAUUUCACUUCUGACUCUGGUGACAUGGGUGUUGUCCCAAAUGACAUCCUUAACCCUACCGUGCCCUUCUUUUGAUCAGAGAUUUACAUUUUGGGGCACUAUAUAAGGAAAAGGAUAUAAUUUGGGACACUACCAUACCGCCUGACUCCUUGGCUUUUGUGUUGGGUUGAUUGUUGGUUUGUGUUUCUAUAAUGGAGGUGUGGAUUUUGUAGCUCUUGGAUUAUGAUGUUUAGAAGAUACAUUUUUCUAUUCACUCACCUAACAUGAAUUUCAGAGUGAACAUUAAGAAAAGGAGAAACAAAAAAUAGUAGAUCCUCUCAAAAGGAAAUCUGAACAAAACACGAAUAUUUGCUUUUUAUAUUAAUCACAAGCAAUGUAUAUAUAUGAUAGUUUUCAUAUACAUUUUUGAAAAUCAAAAAUUCUAUAGAUAUAUAUAUAUAUAUAUGAAUGUUUGGCAUAUAUGCAUAGUUAACCACCUAGGAAAAAAGGUGUGAUCCGAUUUUUAUUAUUUUCUAUGAACUAGGAGAUGAUUUGCACAAAACAAGGUGCUAGCAUUACAGCCACCCAUCAUUACAGUGCAUGUAUGCUGUGACUGGAGGAACACCCUGACUCUCUGUACACAACCCCCUCUCUGCUGUGUGUGUGUGUGUGUGGUAGUGUGUGUAUGUAUGUGUGCUGGGUGUGUAUGUGUGUGGUAGGUGGUAGGUGUGCGUGUAAGUUGUUCAAACCCUCAAAGGUGGUCCGCUGUAGCCUUAAUUACAUCAGAGAUUCCUGGCAGUGGCUGUGUCACACACGUGGUGCACACACUGAAAUCCAGAUGUAUAAUCAUUACAGGACCCUUUGAUAUCUAUUAGAGAGAGAGAGAGAGAAUAUACUGGGGAGAACUUCAAUUUUUAUUUAUUACAUUCUGUCUGUUCCUGUGUAGCCCCUGUCUGUGUGUGUGGGGGAAUCGGCAGUGGGCAGGGUUUGGGCUGUGGCUUUAAUGGGAGACAGAGACACAGACAAUUACAGUAUUACCAUUUGCUCUACAACACCUCUCUAUGACUCUGUCCAUGACCAGAAGCACUGGCCCUCUGCUCCCCGUUUCAUCCAGUUAUACACUCUGUCCUCUUUUCCCUUUUCAGACGUUCAGAGUUUUUAAGGGUAUGCUAUGAUGAGGUGAUUUUGAAGAGGACUGACAACAAAAAAACAAAGAAGGAAAAACGUGCCAAAAAAUAAACUUUCAAUGGUAUAUUUUUCUUCUUCCUUAGUACUACCUUAGUCUGGAUGUUGUUGAGCUGUUACUCACUAAUAUGGUGCCAUCUCCUGGGAAUCUUGAGAACUACAGACAUUCAUUUAGCUUCACUGUCUGGACACAACCUUUUUGGAGUGGAACUGCAGACGUUUUUAUGUUUUGUAAAGGAAUAUAUAUAUAAACUGAAAAAUGGAUUUUAUGAGCUUGCAUUAUUAACAUUUAUAUUUAUAUUUUUGAGACAAGGUAUCAAAGUAUUGUUUGGUUUAACUGUGAUGAGUUAUACAGCUUGUCUAACUGAUGCUGAGAGAUGCUGACAUGGGUUUACACACAGCACAUACAUACACACAUACUGUACACACAUGCAGGCAUGCACGUGUGCUCAUAUACACAGUGCAGCUUGGACUCCAGUUGCUUUCCUGGUUAGGAAAGAAUCUAGUGAUGGAGAACCUAGUUGGACCCCUCAGUGGGUUGACCACAGGUAGCUUAUACAGAUGCAAACACAUGCUACAGGACACAGAGAGCUGAGGCAGACACGUCAUUCACACCAAUGAGUUUCUCUGUACGGUCGACUUCAUCUUCUUUUCUAAUCAACAAAGCACAAUCUACAUGGUGAGACGGAGUCGUGAUUCCUAUUGUUUAAUCCAGGGGGAUCUGGUAGACCCACCACUGGAUCAAAUGAUCUUAUCAUCAUUCAAAGGGGUUUUUCUUUCAUUGUUGAUUUUCUCCUUGUUUGCACUGUGAAGUUUAACAGGGUGGAUCUAUUACAGGCCAUGUCUGGACCAUGCCUGGCCCAUCUAAACAUCCCCUCCUCUUGAUCCCCCAGGCAUCCCAUAUCUUCUUCAAGACACUGAACUCCACACAGAACUGUAGCUUAGCUGAAACUAAUGAUGAACACAAUGUCAACCUCAGUAGAUUUAUGUUAUUCAAUAGUUUAGCAUUGUUGAAUGAAUCCUGACAGCAUAUGUCACAUGUGGUAGGAGGUGAAAAUGUGAAAGGUCAGAUCGCUAGCUAACUAGAAUAAAAUAGUAGCGUUCACUUUGGUGCUAUAUAUGUACAGAUUUUCGCCAGACAGUGUUACUGUGACUAUUUUAAGAUACAGUUCUAUGUAAUCUCAGAUACAGCAAGGGCAUACUCAAGUGUAAUUUUCCUGCUGAAAUUCAAAUGGUCUGUAGAGAGGGAAACACCUAGGCUACCUGCUUCUAACUAGCAUCUGAGUGUCUACUCCCAAACGCACCGUGCUGAAAGGUGUGUGGGUAUAGACUUGGAAUAGAAGAGAGGACACACUGGCCAUUGAGUAGAUGUCUGGAAAAAGAACAACAUUAAAAAAAAAAUUAAACACGUUACGGUUAGUUGCACCAUUGACAAGAACCCUUUUCACCCAGAGGCAUGGUUCUCUUAUCAUCCAUAAGGGAACAUAUAGAGAAGGGAGGCGGGGUAGUGAGGCUGAGGCAGGUCCAGAGACCUGAGUGCUGUGAUGGCUCCACCACAGAGAUCUAUG
rnacentral:lncRNA from 1 species